CACAGUAUCCCGAUGUCGAUGAGAGUGUGUUCCCUGCAUUUUCAUUCUGGCAAGGCUCGAUGGCCAUAGAAGUGUUAGGCUCCAGAAGAGACUAAGGGUGGAUCCAGUGCAGACUGACCUCGACGUGAAAAAGAAGAUAGUAGACAUCAUUGAGCAGGCUGAAAGGAGCAACAGAGAGAGGCUGGACACCAUUGCAGAGGCUCAAAUAAGGAUAAGCCAUAGCUUUGACUUCCUUGUGAGACACAUCA
rnacentral:lncRNA from 1 species